GCCGCCCCGAGCCCACGCCGCGCGGAACCGCCGGAGCUCCCCCCGGGCCGGCAGCCGGGCCGCCACGCUCGCGGCCCGGAAGGCACCGAACAAAGGCGGGGGCGGCCCGGGAGAGCCGCCGGAGAGGAGGGGGCGGAGGGGGGGUCGGCGCCCCCGGGCAGUGCUUGUGAUGUUGCAGAUGAAGUCUUAAAGAGCUGCAAUGUCCUCCCAGAAGGAAUGUCUGCUUGGAACAGAUCCUUAUUGACAAGGCAGCUGCGUGGGGACCGGAACGGAGCCUUAAACCCGGCUCUAACACCAACUAAUACCCUAAAGUCUGGAGCAAGUGCGCAGAAUUACAGCGGUGGGCUCCGAGCCUCCCGCAGGAGCGGUGCCACGGCCGCACCGAGCCCGGGACGCGCUCCCCGGUCCCUUUCCCUUUAUUACAAUGCGCUCUUCCUCUAAUUUUCCAAGACGUUUGGGAAGCACGGACCUGAGGGUUCGUCCCUUCAGGGCUAAGGGGUGAAGAACGCAAAGCGGGGCCGUGAGGAGCCCUGGUUUGUAACGAGAGCGGCUUCUCCCUGCCGGUCCCUUCCCAAGGCCGAACCCGAACGUUGGGGCUCAGCCCCCACCGGGGCCGCGCCGCUCCGCGCCCCACAGCGCCCGCGGAGCGAACGGGGCUGCGCCCGCGGGCAGCGCUGCGGCCGGGGCCGCUCCCAGCGGCGUGCGUUACCCGCUGCUUUUCCUACAAAACAAACGGAAAGUUUUCGCUUCAAACCACCCGAAAGAAGCAAAACGGCACGGAUUUCCGAACCUCACGCUCCGUUUAGCCCCAUAAAUUCAGACGAGAAAUGGUUUCGAAGCGCUCGAAUAAAAGCAAAGGAACGGAGCUCGAAGCGAACGGCCGAACGGCGGCAGGGCGGCUCGGGGAGGUUCUGUGCCGUACGGGUCGGGCUCACCCCGGCCCCGAUCCCUGCGCAGGAGCGCACAUCUCCGCGGGUUUAUUCGAUGCGGAGCGGGGAUGGGGAUGGGGCCGGGGCAGCGCUCGGCCGUUUUUCACCGAUUUCGCCGAAAAAAAAAAAAAAAAAAAAGAAUUGUAUAGGAAAGAUAGAAAACGCGG
rnacentral:lncRNA from 1 species